GCCUCCGUAGCUCAGCUGGAAGAGCGGCUGACUUGUAAUCAGCAGGCCGCGAGUUCGAAUCUCGCCGGGGGCU
rnacentral:tRNA from 1 species